rnacentral:rRNA from 1 species
CGGACGGGUGAGUAACGCGUGGGUAACCUGCCUUGUACUGGGGGACAACAGUUAGAAAUGACUGCUAAUACCGCAUAAGCGCACAGUAUCGCAUGAUACAGUGUGAAAAACUCCGGUGGUACAAGAUGGACCCGCGUCUGAUUAGCUAGUUGGUAAGGUAACGGCUUACCAAGGCGACGAUCAGUAGCCGACCUGAGAGGGUGACCGGCCACAUUGGGACUGAGAUACGGCCCAA